rnacentral:rRNA from 1 species
CCUACGGGAGGCAGCAGUGGGGGAUAUUGCACAAUGGGGGGAACCCUGAUGCAGCGACGCCGCGUGGGUGAAGAAGCGCCUCGGCGCGUAAAGCCCUGUCAGCAGGGAAGAAAAUGACGGUACCUGAAGAAGCAGCCCCGGCUAACUACGUGCCAGCAGCCGCGGUAAUACGUAGGGGGCAAGCGUUAUCCGGAGUUACUGGGUGUAAAGGGGGCGCAGACGGCGAUGCAAGCCAGGAGUGAAAUACCUAGAGCUUAACUCAGGUGCUGCUUCUAAAACUGCUAUACUUGAGUGCAGUAGAGGAAAGUGGAAUUCCUAGUGUAGCGGUGGAAUGCGUAGAUAUUAGGAGGAACAUCAGUGGCGAAGGCGACUUUCUGGACUGUAACUGACGCUGAGGCACGAAAGUGUGGGGAGCAAACAGGAUUAGAUACCCGUGUAGUC